rnacentral:rRNA from 1 species
GAUGAACGCUGGCGGCGUGCCUAACACAUGCAAGUCGAACGGAGAUUACGGACGGAAGUUUUCGGAUGGAAGACUGUAAUUCUUAGUGGCGGACGGGUGAGUAACGCGUGGGCAACCUGCCCUAUACAGGGGGAUAGCAGCUGGAAACGGCUGGUAAGACCGCAUAAGUCGGUUAAAUCGCAUGAUUUGAUCGGGAAAUGAGCAAUCAGGUAUAGGAUGGGCCCGCGUCCGAUUAGCCAGUUGGCAGGGUAAAAGCCUACCAAAGCAACGAUCGGUAGCCGGACUGAGAGGUCGGACGGCCACAUUGGGACUGAGACACGGCCCAAACUCCUACGGGAGGCAGCAGUGGGGGAUAUUGCACAAUGGAGGAAACUCUGAUGCAGCGACGCCGCGUGAGUGAAGAAGUAUUUCGGUAUGUAAAGCUCUAUCAGCAGGGAAGAUGAUGACGGUACCUGACUAAGAAGCCCCGGCUAACUACGUGCCAGCAGCCGCGGUAAUACGUAGGGGGCAAGCGUUAUCCGGAUUUACUGGGUGUAAAGGGAGCGCAGGCGGUUUGGCAAGUUGAGAGUGGAAGCAGGGGGCUCAACCCCCUGACUGCUCCCAAAACUGUUAAACUUGAGUAUGGGAGAGGCAGGCGGAAUUCCUAGUGUAGCGGUGAAAUGCUUAGAUAUUAGGAAGAACACCGGUGGCGAAGGCGGCCUGCUGGACCAAAACUGACGCUGAGGCUCGAAAGCGUGGGUAGCAAACAGG